rnacentral:rRNA from 1 species
GACGAACGCUGGCGGCGUGCUUAACACAUGCAAGUCGAACGGAAAGGCCCUGCUUUUGUGGGGUGCUCGAGUGGCGAACGGGUGAGUAACACGUGAGUAACCUGCCCUUGACUUUGGGAUAACUUCAGGAAACUGGGGCUAAUACCGGAUAGGAGCUCCUGCUGCAUGGUGGGGGUUGGAAAGUUUCGGCGGUUGGGGAUGGACUCGCGGCUUAUCAGCUUGUUGGUGGGGUAGUGGCUUACCAAGGCUUUGACGGGUAGCCGGCCUGAGAGGGUGACCGGCCACAUGGGGACUGCGAGACGGCGCAGACUGCUACGGGAGGCAGCAGUGGGGAAUAUUGCACAAUGGGCGGAAGCCUGAUGAAGCAGCGCCGCGGGCGGGAUGACGGCCUUCGGGUUGUAAAACGCUUUCGCCUGUGACGAAGCGUGAGUGACGGUAAUGGAUAAAGAAGCACCGGCUAACUACGUG